GCUGCAGUCAUUCCCCUUUGACAGCACCAAAGGAAUCCCAUGCAGAUUUCCACUUCCUUCCCUAUAACCCGUUUGUCUAUUUUCCUCAAUUAUCCAGUAGGAACGAAAAUAAUAUUUAAAAUAUUAAAAAAUGGUCAAAACAUUCUUCCCCCAAUCUUGGAAAAUCCUGGUAAGGAGAAUUCUGGACUGAAUAGUAUCUUUGUAAUUUGUGAAAUAUUUGGCAUGAAAUGGUAGUUUGUGUAUAUCUAUGUGCAGAAAGUAACACUUUUAGUACAAACAAAUGUUUUCAUGUACAAAUCCCCCACAGUUUUCCAUAUAGCACAUACAACUUUUGUGUGAAAUAAAUUUCAAACUGUGAAUCUUCAAAAACUACACAGCUUUUAAAAGUUUUCUCAGAGUGGAAAGAAAAUUAUUAAAAUGACUUUUUCCUUCAGAAACAAAAUGAUUGCAUAGCAAUUUUGUAAUUCUUCAAUCAAAGCUGGUGCAGUAUCAUGGGUCAGAGACUGUUUUGUGAAUUAUGAAGUCUUUGGCUUGAGUUUUAUCUCCAACAUGGACUCACCAUGUGGCCUUAGGUAACUCAUUCUUUGUCUGACUCAUCUAUGAUGUAGAAUUAAUGCAGUUUGACACCAUUUUAAUUGCCAUGGCUCAAUGCUAGGAAGGUGUAAGUUUUGAAGAUCUUUAGCCUUCUCUGCCAAAGAGUACGGUGCCUUAGUAAACUCACUAAACUACAACUCCCAGGAUUCCAUAGCAUUGAGUGAUGGAAAUUAAAGUGGUGUCAACCUAUAUUAAUUCUACAGUGAAGAUAUUAUACCAGAUGUUAUUAGAAUGGUCAACUGAGGAAGAACAAAUUAAACACUGUCAGGUAAAGUGGGCCCAAGAUAUAGGCCACAGCAUAAACAUAAACCAGUGGGAGGAAAUCUGGAAUAAAAAAAUAAAAUACACCAUAGCCACAGAAAUUCAAGAAAACUGGUAUAAGAUGUUUUUAGAUGGUACCUCACCCCUGUCAAACUAACAAAUUUUAACAAACACAAUACGAAUAAAUGCUGGAAAUGUAACAAAGAAGUAGGAACCUUCUUACAUCAAUGGUGGAAAUGUAAGAAAAUCAAAGAAUACUGGAAAAAUGUCCACAAGGCGGCACAAUCAAUACUAGGACUCAAGUUCCCUCUAUCACCAGAGACUUAUCUAUUAGGAAUAUCAAAUGUAAAAACAAACAAGAAUCAAGACAAAUUACUAUUUUUUAUUGGAACCGCAGCAAGACUAGUUGUAGCUAGAUUAUGGAAGCAAAAGGAGGUACCGUCCAUCAACGAUUGGAUUUUAAAAUUGUUUGAUAUAAUACAAAUGGAUACGUUAACUCAAAGACUAAGAGAAGUCAAAGAAAAAACAGACUGGCUGGGCUUCAGAGACUUCAUUCAGAAAGAAGGAUAUAAUUUAACAAUAGACAUUUGAUAUGUGAUAUACACCAAAACUACAAGACUGUUAACACCAGAGAUGAAUACAGACUACAAGAUUUUGAAACCCUCAAGAGGUCAAUGGGAAGUCAUCCAAAAAAAAAUUUUCUUUCUUUUUUUUUCUUUUCUUUUUACACCUUUUUUUUUAAAGUUUAUUACUUAUUUAUCUUUCCUCUCCUGGUUUUAUCUUCUUUUGCUUUUUGGUCUCUGGUCUCUACUUUCACCCCACUGUCUACACACAAUUGUUUUCCUCGCUUUCACUGUAAUUAUAGAUAAAAGCACAAUAAAAACUAUUAGAAUUUUUUUUACAGUGAAGAUGUACCCUCUGUCUCUGCAUUGGCUGUGCAAAAUGUGGAUGAUUUUUCCUUUGCAACGGCUAUAUGUGGCCUAAACUGUGGAUUAGGAGCUACACAUCUAUGUAUGUGCUAUGACACACAAUCAUAGACAUUAAAACAAGCUUUCUUCCAUUCAUUCAUAUCUAUUCUCUCUCUUACACACACUGUUUGUUAUUUUUUUUAAUGGCAGCAUACUAACACUAAGCACUGGCCAAGAAAUUGCAGUUAAAAAUAAUUUGCCCCUGCUUUUGACAAAGGAAAAGAGAAGAAAAUAUAACCAAAAUGCCACCAUGCCUGUAAGGGAAUCCUCCUAAUUUCCUUUUUAAUAUGGAAGGCUGCUUAGUAAUCCUACCAUCUACCCAGACUCAUAACAAUCCCCUCUUGCUUAUUAUUAGCCUGAGUUGUGGCUGUAGCAAUCACACGGCUUGCCUCCCGCCUGACAUACACCAGGAGUAUUAAAAACAAUCCAAGUAUUGACCAUCAAUCAUUAGAGAUAAUAUCAGCCAAGAAAUGAUUCCAAAUAAAAGCAGCUGGCUGUUUUCUUCUUGUUUGCUUUUAGUGGUGAUGCAGAAUGCUAGGGAGGGUGUGGGAUCAAAUGCAAAGGCAUCAUGCUUAAAAUAGCAAUAAGAAGAAUGCUGAGUAUAAUGAGAAUGUCAGAUAUUGCAGAACGGGGGAGCUAGGUUAAGAAGAAAAAAUUAGAAGCACACCAUCCCUUCGGUGUGUAUGUCUAAGCAUUGCUGUAUUUGUGGAGAGCAUGAAUGGAAGAAAGCUUGUUUUAAUGUCUCCUCUUUGUUGGAAUGGGGCAUGCAUUCAGGACUGAGCAGGUGUGAACCUAGAUAUUUCUCAAAGUAACUGUGAAACUCAGGACAUUCAAGGCUUGAGAGCAAGAGACUGAAAUGCACAGUUAAAGGGGGGGGGGCGGGAGAAGGGAAUUUAACAUAGGGGAUAGAAAGGGUUGGGGUAUUUGAGAAAGAGUGGUGGAGGAGACAGGCUGUCCAUGUUCUCUUUUGACAUUUGUAAAAGUUAAUGUUAUUUUGCAAUAAUGAAUUUGAUUCCUGGUCUUUGUAAUGUUGUUAUUUCUGCAGUUUGGAAAAAGUGCGGCAUUGGGGAGUCAGCUAGUGAUUAGAUUAGAAUGCCUCUGCAUUUAAAAACCACGUCAGGCAAGGCGGAAUAAUUGAAUAUGCAGUUUGGAGACAUAGUCCCCUACUUUAGCGAUCAGCGGCUGUUUCGUUUGAAGUCCAUAGAGGGUUGUGUUGCUUGGCCUUCUUGCUUUCUCAGUCGUGCUGCUUUUCCUUCUCUGUGUAUUAGCUUUGCCAGUGACACUGUUUGUGUCGGAAGUCCAGUGUGAGGUGGUACAUGACAAAGAAGGUUGCUGGUGUGAUGAGGUCGUCAGACAGCACAACACUGCUAUUUUUAGAAUUCAUGUUCCAAGCUAUCCAGGCUAUCAGAUUGCAGAUAGAAAAUGGAGACAGAAGCAGAAGGACAGCACGCAGAAAGCCCACAUCAGCUUAUCCAUGCCUCACAACCUCUGAGGAUGCCUGCCAUAGAUGUGGGCGAAACGUCAGGAGAGAAUACUUCUGGAACAUGGCCACACAGCCUGAAAGACAUACAACAACCCUGUGAUCCCGGCCAUGAAGGCCUUCGACAAGACAAGUGUGAGUUUUGUUUUCUCGCAAAUCUCCCAAUUUAUGUUUUCAAAAAUCUGGUGCUCUUGCUGGAGGACCUCCUUGUGGCUGCCAUUGUCUACCACUUUGCACUAUCUUAUCUGUUUCAUUGUCUUGUUGCAUUUGAGGAAAUGUGGGACCUUGCCAAGGGCUAAUAGCCACCAUUGCUUGCCUGCAGCAUACUGCAGAAUAAUUCUACCUCUGGACUAGAAAAAUAAUUAAUGCAGAAAUUAAAAGAUGUUUGGCUCUACCUGUCAUUCUCUCUAUUCAUUGCCCAUAGAAUUGGGAUUUCUUUUCUUUCCCUCUCCCACUGGAGUCAAAAUAGAUUUUAGAAAACACAGGGAUAAGUCAAGGUAGGUGACCAAGAAAUGUCAGAGGUUGACUAUAAGGUGACAGUAAGACAGAACCAAGAUGAAGAAACAGUGUCUUCAACUAAUAAUUUUAGAAUCUACAGAGUUAUUACACUUUAAGGGAAAUUGAGAUCAGAUGUGUUGUCGAAGGCUUUCAUGGCCAGAAUCACAGGGUUGUUGUAUGUCUUUCGGGCUGUGUGGCCAUGUUCCAGAAGCAUUCUCUCCUGACGUUUCGCCCACAUCUAUGGCAGGCAUCCUCAGAG